GGUUCAAAGGGUACGGCCAGGGCCUCGCCGCCGCCGCAGUAAGAGAGGAGCGGGGGCCACGGGCCCGCGGCCAGAAGGUGCGUGAAGACCACGGGCCGGUCUUCGCAGCGCAGGAAGUUGCGCUCCUUGCCGCAGAGUGAGAGGAAGGGGAAGGAGGUCUCGUAGCGCCCGCUGCGGUUGGGUCUCAGGCGAGAGAAGAAGGCCGCCCGCCAGGGCUUUCCAGAAGGAAAGUGGAGGAGGAGGGCGCAGCAGUACCUUUGAAGCAGGUGGUGAAGUUCUUCAUUUUGGAGUCAUCCAGGAAAAGCUGCAGACAGAAGAGCAGGCCGUGGCCCUAAGUUCCGGCUGGGAACCCGACAGAACUGGCCUCAGGGCAGGGAGGCAGGAGUGGGCCUGUGUUUGCUUUCCUUGCUCGUCUUGUGCACACCACGUGCAGAAAAGCAUGGAAGGUCAACCUGGGGCCCCUGCUGACUACGCCGCACCCUGGGCGGUGCUUCCUCGUGCACAGGUUCCCGGGCUGGCGUCCCUUUCCCGCGCCUCUUUUCUCUUCCUUUUAAGUUUCUAAUCGUAUGUGCCAUCUCUGCAGAG